ACCGGUCCUCGGUAGUGGCUUUCGGGAGCAGCCGUCGGCACGACGGCGCGGCACCCGCGGGCCUCGAUCGAAGACCGGC
rfam:Kribbella flavida DSM 17836, complete genome.